GGGAGUUGCCAUGGAAACGGAGCGCUAACACAACAACUGACAAGCAGGGAUUCACUGACUUUUGCUGCUGUUUUCAAAGCUUUCGCCUUUCAGGAGAGGAAAAAACCUCAGCAACAGGGGAAGCUCCAAGAUUUAGCUAUUUCUGAAGGCAGAAGAACUGGGAAAGCUUCUUUUUUUAAGAAGGCUUUGACAUCCAUAACUGUAGUGAGCAGGCUUGGUUCAUCCACCUGUUAUUUGGAGAAGCAUGCACAAGCUCUCAGUCCAGUCUGUUUUUUCACCUUGCCGUUCUCCGGUGGCUUUUUACCCAAUCUCUCCACACCAGUUACUGCAUCAGACACAGUUACUAGACAUUACGCCAGUUCCAGUUUGAAUCCAGCCUUCAGAAGAUGCUAACACUCACUAUGACUUCAGAAGAUGCUAAGACUCACGAUGACUUCAGAUGAUGACAACUAAAGAUGAACAUACAAGUCUGCCAAAUAUUAUCCUUAUAUUGUGAUCAUUGCCCUAAAAAGUAAGUUCACAGAUUGUUAACCAGCUUUCUAUUGUUACAGUGUUGGUAAUAUAUGUAAAUUAACAAUGAUUACAUGUUCUCUGAAUUACAUGUACCAAAAUAUCACCAUUUAUUUGGAGGCAGAACUUUGGCAGAUGAUGCAAAAGGUUGACUUCAUGUCUCACUUGUGUGUCCUGUGAGGAACUUCUCAACAAAUUCACUUCACAGCGCAUCAAUGGAAGGCUUUCCUAUGUAACAAACACGGUUUUCCACUCUUGUAUUUAUCCAUAUCAGGUUUUCUGGGAUCCCACUUGAAGACAUCAGAACAUCAGAUGUUGGUCUGGACAGCUGCACCUACAGUACAUCACACUGACCUCUCUGCUUUUGCACAGAUAGCUGACUACUACCAUGUUCUGUGAAGGUAUUAUUAUAGCAAAACUGAUCACCUGUGACAGUGGAAUCUGCAGCUGUAAAAGUAGCAAAUGCAUAUCAGUAAACUGAAGUCACAAAAGUUUUUUUAGGAGUUGCAAAUGUUUUAUUUACUCGUUCUUUCUCAUAAACACAACACAAGAGUAACCAUUUCAAAUUCUGAGGUGCACAAAUCAUAUUCUACAAAUCACAAAAUAAAGAAACCAUAUGCUCACAGUUUGGACAGAGCUGCUGUAGUGAAUGUGGGGCAAAACACAGGUCUGUUUUCAGUUUCGAUUUACUGUCAAAGCUGUGCUAGUGUCACUUUAAUUUGCAUUUGGGAAUUCGACAUUCAUAAUUAGAAUCGUUUAUAAAUCUGUUGUUGUUUACAGAAAGAAGUUUCAGUGUCACAUGAUCAUUCAGAAAUCAUUCUAAUAUGCUGAUUUGCUGCUCAAGAAGCAUUAACUAUUUAUUAUUAGCAAUAUUAAAAACAGUUUUUGCUGGUUAACUUUUUUGUGGAAACAAUGAUACCACUCAAAAAUUUGUAGAAAGAUUUAAAAAGAGAGAGAAAAAAAUAAUUUAAUUCAUCAUAUUGUACAUUGAAGUGCUGAAAAGUGAGUGAAGACAUUUAAAAUGUUUCAAAAGAUUUAUAUUUAAUAAAUGCUUUAACAAAUUUAAUAAAUAUAUUUGAUACAUGCAAAUAAAUACUGUUCAAUGAACUUUCUAUUUAUCAAAGAAUCCUGAAAAAUACAAUGUAUCAGCAUUUCCACACAAAAUAUGAAGCAGCAAAACGUACUCGGUUACUAACGUAACCUCGGUUCCCUGAAAUACGGAAGGAGCACUGCGUUCCUUGCCGUGCUAAAAAGCUUUACAAUUCAGUCGAAGUAACCUGAAUUCCUGUGUCGAAGCGGCCAAUAUAUAUAGCAUCUUAGACGCAGUACGAGUGAAGUAUUGAAAGGGAAAUGUUUUUAACAUUGAUAAUUAUCAGAAAUAUUUAUUA